ensembl:lncRNA
UAUGUAUCUAUGGUCUGCACGUCUGGUAGCAUCUCUGGCUGCUGUUGACCUUGUUUUUGGAGUAAAACGCGGUGGAAGCUGAAUUAGUGAGGAUGACUCCUGCUCCUGUCAUCUCUAAGCUCCUCACACAUCUUUACCUGCACAUGAGGAAAAUCACUCCUGUAGAAUGCAGUGGUUCAUCAGAACCUCUGGGGAUGUCCUGUGGAUUCUGUGGAUCCUGUGGGUUGCAGGGUGGGUCCUACCUAGACCAGGCUGAUCCUGGACCAUCCCACAGAUGCUCCAUCAGAUCUGGAUAUGGGGAGUGUGGAACCCAGAUGUUCAGAGGGAGAUGAUGCCACAUCUGGUCCAGCUGAUGGAAAGUCUUGAAGUUCUCUGACUGGCCUCGACUGAAGAUGGUCGUCUCACUGGAUUUAAGGUUCAGAUGCUCAGUAACAAACUCCACCAAUGAGCCAACAGGGAAGCUUUAGGUUUAUUAAAUGUUGCUAUGAAGGUAUCGCUGUUUUUCUUUGUGAAUGCAAUGUGCUCCAGCUGAAACUUGAAUUAGAACUUAGAAGUAAAUCCUUCCAUCUGAAAGGAUUUAGUUGCAUUAAUAACCUCAUAACAUUCUAAUUUUUAUUCCAGUCUUGGUUGGAAAUAGAAUCUCUGUAUUGAUUCAGGUAAAAACUGAACUUCAUAGCAUGUUGGAGCAAAACAACCAGAUGAAAACUGUGAUGGUGUUGGAUUGUCAGACUGUAAUGUUGCAGCUCAAAGCAGCUUUUCUAGCUCAGUUCAUUCUGACAUUCAGCUAUGAAUCAACACAGCAGAUGGUGAUCCAUGCUGUGGAAGUCUCACAUCUCCUGAUUUAAUGGAGCUGCUUUGCACUUUUUACACUGUUUAUUCACCAGCACUUCAUUUAAUAAAAGUCCCAUCUAGUUUUUAUGAGCAAUG